CGUGGAGGGUGAGAGCCCCGUCCAACCCACACAGGACACGCCGUACGAGAGCGUUUCAGGCGAGUCGGGUAGCUUGGGAAUGCUGCUCUAAUCGGUGGUAAAUCUCAUCGAAGGCUAAAUAGCGGCUGGAGACCGAUAGCGAACAAGUACCGUGAGGGAAAGAUGACAAGCACUUUGAAAAGAGGGUGAAAAGAGCCUGAAACCGUCAUGGGGGAAGCGGAUCGCGUUGGCCUGGUGGGCGCCUGUGUGUUCAGCCUUCGGGUGCAUUGGCACAGGUGCUUAUCCGCUGUGGGUUUUCGGGGGUCGAUUUUGGAUCCCUGGAGGCUGAGGGCUCCCUUCGGGUGAGGACAGCGGAGUGACGACGCGAUACGACCCGUCUUGAAACACGGACCAAGGAGUCUAGCGCGGGUGCGAGUCGGAGGGUGCAAGCCCGUGGGCGAAGUGAAAGCGAGUGUAAAAACGAGCAGUUUGGGGCGGCAUAAGAUCGUUGAUCUCAAGACCGACCCAGAGCAGUUGCGCUGGGACCCGAAAGAUGGUGAACUAUGCCGGAGUAGGGCAAAGCCAGAGGAAACUCUGGUGGAGGCUCGUAGCGGUGCUGACGUGCAAAUCGCUCGUCCAACUUGGGUAUAGGGGCGAAAGACUAAUCGAACCAUCUAGUAGCUGGUUCCCUCCGAAGUUUCUCUCAGGAUAGCGGGCCGACAAGUUGUUUUGUGCGGUAAAGCGAAUGAUUAGCGCACGUGGGGCCAUUUCGGCUUCAGGCGAUUCUCAAACUUUAAAUGCGCAAGGGUGUCGCUGCUUAAUUGAGCGGCACCGCUAAAAACGUCGGCCCUGUGGGCCACUUUUGGUAAGCAG
rnacentral:rRNA from 1 species